UGGGAAGACCAAGCAUCUUGGUUUGCCUGGGAUUGAGGGGGUCCCUGUGCUCUGGGACG
rnacentral:miRNA from 1 species